AAGGUAAUUCCUGCCCUAUGGUUUAAUCUAAAUGGCUGCAGUAUUUUGACUGUGCAAAGGUAGCAUAGUAAUUAGUUUCUUAAUUGGGAACUUGUAUGAAUGGAUAAAUGAGAUAUAAUUUUUAUUUAAUUAAAAGUUAAAAUUUUAAUUUUAAGUGAAAAUGCUUAAGAUUUUUCUUGGGACGAUAAGACCCUAUAGAAUUUUACAUUUGUUUAUAAAAUUUUCUUUAAUUUUUUUGUAAGAUUUUCUGUUCGUAUGUUUUGCUGGGGUGGUAGAUAAAUUUUAACUUUAUUUAUUUUUUUCAUUAAUAAUUGUUUUUAUUGAUCUUAAUGGAUUAUAAGAAUAAGUUACCUUAGGGAUAACAGCGUAAUUUUAGUGGGGAGUUCAUAUCUAUACUGAUUUUGCGACCUCGAUGUUGAAUUAAGAAAAAACUAAGAAGCAGAAUUCUUAGAUUUAAGUCUGUUCGA
rnacentral:rRNA from 1 species